UGGGGAAUAUUGGACAAUGGGCGCAAGCCUGAUCCAGCCAUGCCGCGUGGGUGAAGAAGGCCUUCGGGUUGUAAAGCCCUUUUGUCCGGAAAGAAAAGCACUGGAUUAAUACUUCGGUGUUCUGACGGUACCGGAAGAAUAAGCACCGGCUAACUUCGUGCCAGCAGCCGCGGUAAUACGAAGGGUGCAAGCGUUACUCGGAAUUACUGGGCGUAAAGCGUGCGUAGGUGGUUCGUUAAGUCUGAUGUGAAAGCCCUGGGCUCAACCUGGGAAUUGCAUUGGAUACUGGCGGGCUAGAGUGCGGUAGAGGAUGGCGGAAUUCCCGGUGUAGCAGUGAAAUGCGUAGAGAUCGGGAGGAACAUCUGUGGCGAAGGCGGCCAUCUGGACCAGCACUGACACU
rnacentral:rRNA from 1 species